rnacentral:lncRNA from 1 species
GCUGAUUCACAGGUUGACAAGGUCAGAAAAAGUGGCUCUUGUUGAAAGUUAUUUUUUCCUGCGAUGUACAUUUUUUUAUGGUCUUUGGAAUUAAAAUGUGAUGCUGAUUGUCUCUGGGGAGUCUCGGAAGAGUAGAGUUUGCCACGGUAUCACUUAGUGAUUGUGGACAUUCAUUAAAAAGAGGCUGAGCCAACAGAAGAAAGAUUGCAAAUGUGCCCUUGUAAAUGGGAUUGUGAAGAGCAGUCUUCAGUCUGAGACCCAUCCCUAGGUAA